rnacentral:misc_RNA from 1 species
GCUAUGUCAGAUAAUGCAACGUGUAGAGGGUUCCUUCACUUUGGCAGUGUGCCCAGUGCUUUAGGUAUGAGUUAUUAUUGAAAUGCAAAUGAGAUGACCCACACACUAACCCGAAGUAGAUACUGUGGAAGGUUUUAGGAUGUUUUUGGCAUUCAGGUUUUUUGGGUUAGUUCCAUGACAUGCGUUAGCCUCCCAUUUCAUCUCAUUCUUGCUGCUGCAUCUAACUUGGUCAUAAUGGAGACUAAUCACAAUUCAUCUCAGCUUUCCUUUUAUACUAGGUAAAAAUCCUUAUAAUGUUUUAACUCUUUUUUCCACCCUCA